GACUUAUAUUCUGUAGCAAGGUUAACCGAAUAGGGGAGCCGAAGGGAAACCGAGUCUUAACUGGGCGUUAAGUUGCAGGGUAUAGACCCGAAACCCGGUGAUCUAGCCAUGGGCAGGUUGAAGGUUGGGUAACACUAACUGGAGGACCGAACCGACUAAUGUUGAAAAAUUAGCGGAUGACUUGUGGCUGGGGGUGAAAGGCCAAUCAAACCGGGAGAUAGCUGGUUCUCCCCGAAAGCUAUUUAGGUAGCGCCUCGUGAAUUCAUCUCCGGGGGUAGAGCACUGUUUCGGCAAGGGGGUCAUCCCGACUUACCAACCCGAUGCAAACUGCGAAUACCGGAGAAUGUUAUCACGGGAGACACACGGCGGGUGCUAACGUCCGUCGUGAAGAGGGAAACAACCCAGACCGCCAGCUAAGGUCCCAAAGUCAUGGUUAAGUGGGAAACGAUGUGGGAAGGCCCAGACAGCCAGGAUGUUGGCUUAGAAGCAGCCAUCAUUUAAAGAAAGCGUAAUAGCUCACUGGUCGAGUCGGCCUGCGCGGAAGAUGUAACGGGGCUAAACCAUGCACCGAAGCUGCGGCAGCGACACUGUGUGUUGUUGGGUAGGGGAGCGUUCUGUAAGCCUGUGAAGGUGUGCUGUGAGGCAUGCUGGAGGUAUCAGAAGUGCGAAUGCUGACAUAAGUAACGAUAAAGCGGGUGAAAAGCCCGCUCGCCGGAAGACCAAGGGUUCCUGUCCAACGUUAAUCGGGGCAGGGUGAGUCGACCCCUAAGGCGAGGCCGAAAGGCGUAGUCGAUGGGAAACAGGUUAAUAUUCCUGUACUUGGUGUUACUGCGAAGGGGGGACGGAGAAGGCUAUGUUGGCCGGGCGACGGUUGUCCCGGUUUAAGCGUGUAGGCUGGUUUUCCAGGCAAAUCCGGAAAAUCAAGGCUGAGGCGUGAUGACGAGGCACUACGGUGCUGAAGCAACAAAUGCCCUGCUUCCAGGAAAAGCCUCUAAGCAUCAGGUAACAUCAAAUCGUACCCCAAACCGACACAGGUGGUCAGGUAGAGAAUACCAAGGCGCUUGAGAGAACUCGGGUGAAGGAACUAGGCAAAAUGGUGCCGUAACUUCGGGAGAAGGCACGCUGAUAUGUAGGUGAAGUCCCUCGCGGAUGGAGCUGAAAUCAGUCGAAGAUACCAGCUGGCUGCAACUGUUUAUUAAAAACACAGCACUGUGCAAACACGAAAGUGGACGUAUACGGUGUGACGCCUGCCCGGUGCCGGAAGGUUAAUUGAUGGGGUCAGCGCAAGCGAAGCUCUUGAUCGAAGCCCCGGUAAACGGCGGCCGUAACUAUAACGGUCCUAAGGUAGCGAAAUUCCUUGUCGGGUAAGUUCCGACCUGCACGAAUGGCGUAAUGAUGGCCAGGCUGUCUCCACCCGAGACUCAGUGAAAUUGAACUCGCUGUGAAGAUGCAGUGUACCCGCGGCAAGACGGAAAGACCCCGUGAACCUUUACUAUAGCUUGACACUGAACAUUGAGCCUUGAUGUGUAGGAUAGGUGGGAGGCUUUGAAGUGUGGACGCCAGUCUGCAUGGAGCCGACCUUGAAAUACCACCCUUUAAUGUUUGAUGUUCUAACGUGGACCCGUGAUCCGGGUUGCGGACAGUGUCUGGUGGGUAGUUUGACUGGGGCGGUCUCCUCCUAAAGAGUAACGGAGGAGCACGAAGGUUGGCUAAUCCUGGUCGGACAUCAGGAGGUUAGUGCAAUGGCAUAAGCCAGCUUGACUGCGAGCGUGACGGCGCGAGCAGGUGCGAAAGCAGGUCAUAGUGAUCCGGUGGUUCUGAAUGGAAGGGCCAUCGCUCAACGGAUAAAAGGUACUCCGGGGAUAACAGGCUGAUACCGCCCAAGAGUUCAUAUCGACGGCGGUGUUUGGCACCUCGAUGUCGGCUCAUCACAUCCUGGGGCUGAAGUAGGUCCCAAGGGUAUGGCUGUUCGCCAUUUAAAGUGGUACGCGAGCUGGGUUUAGAACGUCGUGAGACAGUUCGGUCCCUAUCUGCCGUGGGCGCUGGAGAACUGAGGGGGGCUGCUCCUAGUACGAGAGGACCGGAGUGGACGCAUCACUGGUGUUCGGGUUGUCAUGCCAAUGGCACUGCCCGGUAGCUAAAUGCGGAAGAGAUAAGUGCUGAAAGCAUCUAAGCACGAAACUUGCCCCGAGAUGAGUUCUCCCUGACCCUUUAAGGGUCCUGAAGGAACGUUGAAGACGACGACGUUGAUAGGCCGGGUGUGUAAGCGCAGCGAUGCGUUGAGCUAACCGGUACUAAUGAACCGUGAGGCUUAACCUU
rnacentral:rRNA from 1 species